rnacentral:tRNA from 1 species
GGAGGUAUAGCUCAAGUGGUAGAGUGCAUGCUUAGCAUGCACAAGGUCCUGGGUUCAAUCCCCAGCACCACCU